rnacentral:rRNA from 1 species
CAGCCGCCGCGGGAAUACGGAGGGUGCAAGCGUUAUCCGGAUUUAUUGGGUUUAAAGGGUCCGUAGGCGGAUCUGUAAGUCAGUGGUGAAAUCUCACAGCUUAACUGUGAAACUGCCAUUGAUACUGCAGGUCUUGAGUAAAUUUGAAGUGGCUGGAAUAAGUAGUGUAGCGGUGAAAUGCAUAGAUAUUACUUAGAACACCAAUUGCGAAGGCAGGUCACUAAGAUUUAACUGACGCUGAUGGACGAAAGCGUGGGGAGCGAACAGGAUUAGAUACCCGUGUAGUCCCUGUCUCUUAUAC